AUAGUUUCAAAUAUAUUACAAAGCAGAAACUAACAAAAGGAAGAAUAAGAAGACAAAACUACCUUUCUGGUGUAAGUAGUUUACCUUCUUCUGUAAUUAAGCAGACAACAUUUGUAAGGAGAGAUAAGAUAUAUUCAUAAAAUAUAUGCUGAAUUUGUAUAUAACAAUACAAUUUGAGAAUAUAUUUUGUUUUAUGUAACAUUUUUGAAAACUGACCAUUACAUAGACCAUAAGAUUUUUUUUCAACUGAGCAGUGCCCAGAGACAUCAUUUGAAACAGAAAAUACUCUUCUGAAUAACUAAUGGGUCAAAGGAAAAAAAAAAAAGUUUAAAAAAAAAACAGAUUUAAACAAAAAAGAAAAUGUUACACACCAAAGGUUGUGAAUCUCUAUAUUAAAGAAGACCGAAAAUUGAUGAGCUGAACUCAGGUUAGAAAGCAAGCUGAUCAAAGAACUCAGUGACCCCACUAGAGACUCUCAAUCACCAACCACAGACUCUGUCACUUGACUCCUAACUCCCAAUAACUCACCUCAGAGAACCCCAUCACUGACAGGAGAGACCUUCGCCACUGACAACCAUAACGGAUGCCCCGCCCCCAUCACUGAACCCCCAAACCAUCACUAGCUCCACCCCACCGCUCACACUGCUGACUACACAGAAUCCUCAAUCGCGACCAACCAAAAUCAUCUCAAAGACUUCUAGCCAUCUCCUAAUAGUAGCCCCGAAAUAACCUUCGAGGACCACUUCCACUUCCGGUUUGACUUCUAAAACCUCCCCUUGGGGGAAUGUUGGUACUGCGCAUGCUCCGAACUCUGGGCUGCCAACAGUAAACGCCGCGCAGACAUUCCUUUAUAGAGACUUUAUGCGGUUUCCAUAGGAGGUGUGGUCCGGCGGAGAACAUGGCCGCGCCCAGGGUUACUUCUUUGUGUGGGCCGCCCUCUGUUCGUAGAGCAUAGGAGUUGGCCCGCACCCAAGUGUCACGGUGUGAGCCUGGGACUGUCACAUAAAACGUGGGACUGUCGCCUUUGUCUGAAUAGGCCUCCGGGAGGAGGAAGUUACCGGAUAUGGGUUCUGGAACUUUACAUUAUACUUAGAAAAGCUAGUUGCCACGAGGGCUACAGCGAGCAGGGAAUCCAGCGAGGACAAACCACUAGGAGGGAUUCCUGGGAGAAACCACAGGGAAAUAAGGGAGAAAACAGACGGAACAGUCGGCUUUAUGAAGAAACAAAUGGAGAGGCGAGAAUGGGAAUCCGCCCCUGGGUAAAACCCCCAGCAACACGGAGACAGAAAUUGGGAAUAUGCCAAACCCCUACUAGUUCUUAUCGAUGGCCCAUAAAGGAUGACUUGGAAGCCAAGGAUUGUCUACAUUCAUUACAAUGUUGGUGCUUUUCUUUCUCUAGUAUGCAUUUUCUCAUGUCAAAUAAGACAUGAACCAUGAGUAUAAGUUUUCCCACAUUCCUCACAUUCAAAGAGUUUAGCUCUGGAAUGAAUUUUCUUAUGUCAAUAAGAUUUGAGUGUUAAUGGAAGGUUUUCUUACAAUUGUUACUUUCAUAGGGUCUUUCUCCACUUUGAACUCUCUGAUGUCCCUUAAAACUUGAGCUGUUUCUAAAAGCUUUUCCACACUUCUUACACUCAUAGUGUUUUUCUUUAGUAUGGGUUUUCUUAUGUCAAAUGACUGAAAGUUUUUCUACAUUCCUUGCAUUCAUAGAGUUUCUCUCCAGUAUGAACUAUCUGAAUUACUAAAGGCCUUUCCACAUUGCUUACAUUCAUAAGGUUUUUCUCCAGUGUAAAUUCUCUGAUGAUGAAUAAGAUUUGAGGAGUGCUGGAAAGCUUUACUACACUUAUUACACUCAUAGAGUUUUUUUCUCUACUAUGAAUUCUCUGAUAUCCAUUUAGCUUUCAGCAACAGCUAAAAUCCUUUCCACAAUACUUACAUUCAUACUGUUUUUCUUCUGUGUGACUUCUCCCAUGGUCAGUAAGCAAUGAGUGGUAAUUGAAGACUUUCCCACAGUCUAUGCAUUCAUGGGGUUUUUGCUUAGUAUGUUUAUUUGAUGUGGAGUAUAUGACAUCUGUUAACUAAGACUCUUCAUAUUUUCAUGGAUGAUUGUUACAGGGUUGAAAUAUUCUUCCUGAUUUCCCUGUUCUGUCUGAAAAUGGAAUAUUCAAAACUAUGACUUACCAGGUUUCUGUUCUUGCAACUAAAAGGCUCAGGGGUCACUCCAGGGAAACUGGGCUAAUUAGGCUGUGAAAAAUAACCCCACAAGAGACACAAAUACCUUUUUCUUUGGGGUUGCUGUGACGGCUCCUCUGACCUUAAGGGUCCGUAGGAAGAGAGAGAGCAUGCACUGACCCCUUUUAUUGAGGAGAAGCUAUUCAAAUGAGGCAAGGGGUCAGGUUUCAGGGGGCUGAGUCUAUCUUCAUAAUGUCCACUGUCAGCAGGUUGACUGACAUCUAGGUAGGCCACACCCAAGGGCACAGUAAGAGAAGGGGACACACACAAGGCACUUCCAUGGAACAUUCUAUCCUAAACAGGGCAAGGGGUUAUAUUACAAAGGAAUAGCUUUAGCUUCACCCAUGGGGCUGUAGGAAGCCAUGCCCAGGCACGAAGACACAGUCACUUGAACCCUAGAAGAGCAGGGCAGUCUAGCAGCAUGGGUACCUGAUGCCACAUCGCCCAGCAGGGGAGUUAACUCAGUCAUGUGCCAGUUGGUCUCCCACAAUAACUUACAAGUCUUUUCAUUAUAUUCCACUGAGAUGACUUUCAUUUUAUGAGCAUGAUCCUUUGAUGAGAACUCUUUCUGUUGGGGCUGGAACUUUACAUUAUAUGGGUUCUGGAACUUUACAGAAAAAUAAGGAGAAUGCAAACACAUUUUUUUCCAGUUCCUGGAAAAUGAAAUUUCUAAAAUAGGAAUAUGAACACAAUGCUUAUGAUAAACGAAUGGUUUGGAAAGCUCUACUAUAACCAUGAAAGGUGAGAGUGUACACAGAAGGUGACGUAGUGAACUUAGUGCUUCUAAAAUGUUGCUAUAGAUCAGAAUUAAUGAAAAACUUGUUAAAAAUACAGAUGGCACUUCAGAUAAAAGUAUCACUUCAGAUCAAAUGAUUAAAAAUACACAGGAGUGGACCUUGACUUUAAGAAAAAUCUCUAGGGUCUCUGAUGCUGUCUAAAGUUAGGUUGGCUUCCUUAUGGAAAGGCAUUUUAGUGUGGUUUAUGUAUGAUAUUAAAUAAAGAAUAUUUAACACUUAAAAAAAUAAAAAUAUAAAGUUAGGUUGGUCUUUGCACUGAGAAUAAUUUUUGAAUAAAUUAUCAUUGACUAAAGGGUUGGGUCACCUAGCAACAUGAUCCUACCUUUUACUGAACCCAUGCUUUACAGGUUCACUUAAUUCCAUUCCAAGAGUAGAUGACAUGCUUCUCUACAUCAGAGAGAUUACCAUUGCCAUUCUAUCACAUAUUGUCUAUCUGUGUAUGGCAGGCUCAGUAGCAUAAUUUGUAAUAUAAUACAAACGGCACUUAAAAAAUUCCUGCUUUCAAACAGUGUCAGAUGACACCCACUCUUAUUCUACUGCCCAGAUGGCUAAUCAUUACCUUUGAUUUUUUUCCUCCUUGCCUAUUUAUUUUCUCAUACUCUGUACUAGGCUGAAAGUUUUCUAUUGGAAGAUACUAUGUCUGCUUAAAUCACUAUUGUUUUAAUCAGCUUCUAACAAAAUAUUAUCAUAAAAAAGUGUUCAAGAGCUGGGGUUGUGGCUCAGAAGUACAGUGCAAGGUCAUGGGUUUUAUCCUCAGUAUCACAUAAAAAUAAGUAAAUAAAAUAAAGGUAUUGUGUCCAAUUACGACUAAAA
ensembl:lincRNA